rnacentral:rRNA from 1 species
UACGGAGGGUGCGAGCGUUGUCCGGAAUCAUUGGGCGUAAAGGGCGCGUAGGUGGCCCCUCAAGCGUGCGGUGAAAGUCAGGGGCUCAACCCCUGAUCGGCCGUGCGAACUGGGGAGCUUGAGCACUGUAGAGGCAGGCGGAAUUCCGGGUGUAGCGGUGGAAUGCGUAGAGAUCCGGAAGAACACCGGUGGCGAAGGCGGCCUGCUGGGGGCGCCCUGACGCUGAGGUGCGAAAGCGUGGGGAGCGAACGGG